GACGAACUCUGGCGGCGUGCUUAACACAUGCAAGUCGAACGGUAAGGCUCCAGCUUGCUGGGGUACACGAGUGGCGAACGGGUGAGUAACACGUGGGUGACCUGCCCUGCACUUCGGGAUAAGCCUGGGAAACUGGGUCUAAUACCGGAUAGGACCGCACCGUGAGGGUGUGGUGGAAAGUUUUUUCGGUGUGGGAUGGGCCCGCGGCCUAUCAGCUUGUUGGUGGGGUAAUGGCCUACCAAGGCGGCGACGGGUAGCCGGCCUGAGAGGGUGGACGGCCACAUUGGGACUGAGACACGGCCCAGACUCCUACGGGAGGCAGCAGUGGGGAAUAUUGCACAAUGGGCGGAAGCCUGAUGCAGCGACGCCGCGUGGGGGAUGACGGCCUUCGGGUUGUAAACUCCUUUCACCAUCGACGAAGGGUUUCUGACGGUAGAUGGAGAAGAAGCACCGGCUAACUACGUGCCAGCAGCCGCGGUAAUACGUAGGGUGCGAGCGUUGUCCGGAAUUACUGGGCGUAAAGAGCUCGUAGGUGGUUUGUCGCGUCGUCUGUGAAAUUCCGGGGCUUAACUCCGGGCGUGCAGGCGAUACGGGCAUAACUUGAGUACUGUAGGGGAGACUGGAAUUCCUGGUGUAGCGGUGAAAUGCGCAGAUAUCAGGAGGAACACCGGUGGCGAAGGCGGGUCUCUGGGCAGUAACUGACGCUGAGGAGCGAAAGCAUGGGGAGCGAACAGGAUUAGAUACCCUGGUAGUCCAUGCCGUAAACGGUGGGCGCUAGGUGUGGGUUUCCUUCCACGGGAUCCGUGCCGUAGCUAACGCAUUAAGCGCCCCGCCUGGGGAGUACGGCCGCAAGGCUAAAACUCAAAGGAAUUGACGGGGGCCCGCACAAGCGGCGGAGCAUGUGGAUUAAUUCGAUGCAACGCGAAGAACCUUACCUGGGCUUGACAUAUACAGGAUCGCGCCAGAGAUGGUGUUUCCCUUGUGGCUUGUAUACAGGUGGUGCAUGGUUGUCGUCAGCUCGUGUCGUGAGAUGUUGGGUUAAGUCCCGCAACGAGCGCAACCCUUGUCUUAUGUUGCCAGCACGUUGUGGUGGGGACUCGUAAGAAACUGCCGGGGUUAACUCGGAGGAAGGUGGGGAUGACGUCAAAUCAUCAUGCCCCUUAUGUCCAGGGCUUCACACAUGCUACAAUGGUCGGUACAGUGGGUUGCCAGUCCGUGAGGGCGAGCUAAUCCCGCAAAGCCGGUCUCAGUUCGGAUCGGGGUCUGCAACUCGACCCCGUGAAGUCGGAGUCGCUAGUAAUCGCAGAUCAGCAACGCUGCGGUGAAUACGUUCCCGGGCC
rnacentral:rRNA from 1 species